GAGAUAUUAGCUUAUAAACUCCAUGUCUGUUUCUGUCAGACCCCCAGAGAGACAGAAGUGUUUCUCAGCUCGUCACUCAGUCCCAUAAUCUGAAAAUAAAACUGUUUUGAUGUGUGACACUGACAGCUUUCAAUUCAUUUUCUAUAUUCUACAAACUUGCUAAUGCUGAGGUUUGAUGCACUGGGUAGUGAUUGCAUCUGAUUGGUGAUCUGAUAAAAGAAUUUUAUUAUGUCUCCUUUGAAGAAAUUUUUCUCUCCCAAAACUUCAUCAAAUAGCAUCCUAAAACGUGUCGAUGAGGGUUUGGAGUACAAAGAUGUCUCAUUGAAGCUUGCUGAAAGUACUCUCCUUUUUGAAGACGGAAAAUGGCGCACAGAAAACCAAGACUCCAGAGAAGUAUUGGCUCUUCAAAAACAGAAACAAGAUUUAGUUGAAGAAAACAACUAUUUGAAAUUGAAAAUUGAAGUUUUAUUAAAUAUGUUAACCGAAGCCACAGUUAAAGGUCAUGAACAAAACUAAGCUCUGUGCUUCAUUAAUACUUGCAUUCUAGUACAAUGAAUAGAAAAAGUGCCUUGUUGAACAUUUCAUCACCAUGCAUAAAGUAGCUUUUGUAUUUAUUCCAUUGAAAUUUAAUACUAUGUUGUUUGUACAACUGAUACAGACUGCAAUAAAAUACUCUAUAGAAGUGCUGUUUGUGUUGAGGCAAAAAAUCUAAAGAUAUAAAAAAAAUGUAAGGUUUGUAGACUAAGUGCCAAGGUUGGCAACGUUUUGGACACUAUGGUAAAAGCCAUGGAUUUUACUGUUUAGAACCCUUGUGUCCAAGUACUAUAUUUUUAGUUAAAUUAUAUUUUGUGAGAAAAUAUCAACAGAAUAAAACACAUUAAAGUAAUAUUCAAUAUUAAAAAAAUAUUGUCUGUGAAUGUUCAAGUAUUUAUCUUUAAAAUUAACAUUUAAAACUGAUUAAUAGUUGCUAAUUCUAAUCUAGUUCAUAGAAGUUGCAUUUCUUAAUUAAAAAUUUAAAAUAAAAUGCAUGAAUUUUUUUUUUUUUUU